AAGAGUGCAAAUAAAUACCAUAAACGAAGAAAGUUACACAAUUUCCUUUUUGCUAAUCAUUCACGGAAGAGUGGCAGGCACAGUCCUAGUAACCCCAAUUGGCAAAAAAAAAGUUAGGGGAGACCUAAAUGCAAAAUAAGGCUCUUCAUCCUUGAGAGAUUUGCUAAGAAAGAAGUAAAUUUAGUACAUACAUAUAUUUGGACAUGAGCCGGAACAUGUUGAGAAGGCAGAAAUACAAUCUCCAUUAGACUCUCUACGCAGCCUCCUGUACAUUCUUUCAAAAAAGAACCAUCAGCAUUAAAAAGUAUAUGCCUGGAUGGAGAAGCUUUCCAUUGAAUCCAUCUGCCAACGGGAGUAUAAUUAGGUACUGAAGGGAUAGAAAUAGCAAAUACGAUUAAUGAGUAGUGAAAGGACAUUGCCUUUGAUGGAGAAAACAGAAAAGUCUAUUUACCAUUUGGAGUAUCAUUAAGGACCAAACUGAAAAUAGCAAAUUCGUCUAUUGAGCAGUGAAAAGUCGCAGCCUUCCAUCGGGAGGAUUAGAAGUAAACUCCAUAAUGCCCAACCUUUUUACUUACAUAUGUUGAACUGAGAUUGCACUGCAGGUAGCAAUAUAAUUAUGAUGCAACCAUAUUUUCAAACGCAAGCAGCAAGGAAUGAUCACAUACGAAGAAAGUUAUUGUAUUAGCAUGAAAUGAAACCAUAACAUGCUUAGUUAUAUCAUCAAAAAUAGAUGCGCAAACUCGAGAUAAGAAGUUAUACUUUAUACAAUAUGGCGUAUACAUACCAAACACCAGUACUUAAAAGUUCACAUUAAGUGACAUCCUCCUAUAGUCCUAUUACACACUACUCUCGUGUGUGCUUGGUUCCACCAUCAACCAUUUAGAACAUUAAAUUUGAUGAUCAAACCAUUUUGAUCAACAGAUAUAAGCACACGAAUCAGAAGAAUGGAUGACUACCCUAACUAAAAUGAUGGACAUCUCAUUGGCAAUGUGAAGAUACAUGCUCCUCUGCCUCACCUGAGAACUGCAGAAUAAAAAUAAAAACAAAAAUUUAUCUGCUUCGAUUCUUAUUUUUAUAAGUUAUAUCUGCCUUCGAUCAUUUGCGAAGAGAUAUUAUUAUGGCAGGAUACUCAAACCCCAUAAGAAAUUAUCUCAAAGCGAUUACAUAGGCUAUUUGUGAACAAGGAUGAGAUCAAAUCACUUGUUAAACAGCAAUAUUCCAAAAAUCCAAGAUAUAAUGAUCCAUAAAAAUAUCCGAGUUUAAGUUCAGGAACUAAAUGACAGACAUACAUGUGCGAGAAAAUAAGAAUCAAGUGGUGGUAUUGCAUGCACUCGUAGCUCAGUUCAUACUUCAUAGGUCACGACUAGUGAAUCCAACUUGGAAGAACAUAUGAAGACUCAAUUCGUACAGUCACAUAAUAAACUUGGUGGUUUAUCUAGUCCACACCAUUCACCCUUUAGAGUAGUGGCUGCAGGUUCCACCGUAUACAAAAACCCAAAAAAAGGAAGAAGAAAAUGUGAGCAUUCAUAUCCAUAAAAGAGAGGAGCAUCAGGGAUAACAAAGCCACAAAAUACAUAUAUAAAAAAAGGGGGUUGAAGAAGGGUUUCCUAAAAUGUGAAUUUCAUGGAUGCAAUAUAGCGCUAGCAGCUAUGCAUAAAUGAGUGCUGCAGCCUCUUUUCC
rnacentral:lncRNA from 1 species